rnacentral:rRNA from 1 species
UAGAAGGCAAAGUACGUGAGGCGGAGCAAACACAAAACAACAGUCUCAGUUCAGAUUGUAGGCUGAAACUCGCCUAUAUGAAGUCGGAAUUGCUAGUAAUCGCGGAUCAGCAUGCCGCGGUGAAUACGUUCCCGGGUCUUGUACACACCGCCCGUCACACCAUGGGAGUCGGAAAUGCCCGAAGUCUGUGACCCAACCUACGGGAGGGAGCAGCCGAAGGCAGGUCGGAUGACUGGGGUGAAGUCGUAACAAGGUAAC